AUACGGAGGGUGCAAGCGUUAUCCGGAAUCAUUGGGUUUAAAGGGUCCGUAGGCGGGCUAAUAAGUCAGGGGUGAAAUCCCACAGCUUAACUGUGGAACUGCCCUUGAUACUGUUGGUCUUGAGUUACAGUGAAGUGGUUAGAAUGUGUAGUGUAGCGGUGAAAUGCAUAGAGAUUACACAGAAUACCGAUUGCGAAGGCAGAUCACUAACUGUAUACUGACGCUAAUGGACGAAAGCGUGGGGAGCGAACAGGAUUAGAAACCCCAGAGUCC
rnacentral:rRNA from 1 species